AGAAAACCAAAAGCCCAAAGAGAAAAGAUCACCCAGGGAAAGCCAGUGUGACAGUGGAAAGAAGGUACACUUGGGAUCAGGCAAAUCCGUGUGUUAGGAUCAGCCUUUCAAGGCUCAGUUCGACCACCUUUAUUUCCUCACCUGUGAAAUGGGCGAUUGAGCCCAGCCAUCCUGAACCAGGUGAGUUAGCUGGCAUUGGAUAGUACUGGCUUAGUGCAGCCCCUGCCUCAGUGGACCUGAAGGGGAUCUGGGCCAGCAGUACCAGCAUCACUGGAACUUGUUAGAAAUGCCGAUCUCACCCCAGCCCACUCCCACCCCUGAACGACUGACUCCAAAACUGAGAUGGGGCAGCACUUUGUGUUUUUACAAGCCCUCCUGGUGAUCCCUGGGUCAAGUUUGCAAAUCACUGAGGUACCUAUUUGACCACGCCAUCUAGUGGCAGACAGACCUAACAGAUCCUGCGUUCUAGAAAAUGGUUUGUUUCCAGUGCUGGAAUAUUCAGCUUGGAGGACUCCGAAAGACGCUCCCCUCAAGAAGCCUCUAAAUGCAUGAAGGCACAGACUCUGUCAUUCUUUCCACCCAGUGUAUUCCCAGCACCUAAGCACCGUGAGGAAUGAAGGGCAGAUAUUUAAUAAAUAUUUAUUGAAUGAAUGAAUGAGGACAAAUGAAUUAACUUGAAAAAAGGGGCACAUGUCCUAACUCCUAG
rnacentral:lncRNA from 10 species